ensembl:lncRNA
UUUUUUUUUUUUUUUAAGUUAAAUGUUUGCCUCACCACAUGGCUAUUUCAAACUGAAUUUUUAAAAGCCCUGUAUGUUUUACUUGGGCAUAAGUACAGAUUAAGGGCAGUUCAGCACAUGGUUAUAUUGCUAAUAGAUACAAGGGAAGAUGAGAUGCAAUAACUGGAGAUCUAAGAUAAUAAAUGGGGGACAGUGCUGAAAAUUAUUUCUUCAGUAGAUAAAGUACAAGUGGAAGAAGACUUGCUUUAUCCACUAGCAUUCUUGUUAUAAAGGAACAGAUCCUUUUGUUAAGUUUUGUUAAGUUUUUAAAUAAAUUUCCUGGUAAAAAAGAAGCAUGGAUUACUUAAGCCACUCCAGCCACCUGCUCUGACUGCCAGGAUAUAUUAUCUCUUCUUAUCAAGUAGAGACUAUGCCUUCCCCAGUUUUACUUUGAACUCAUGUCUUCAGUAUGGCAAGUUAUUUAUAUGACAAGUUUGUUCAAGUGAAUUUUAUUUGCCGUAGAAGUGUUGAAAAUAAACUCACAGAUGUUAGGAAAAUCAAACCUGAUUUUGCAAAACCUGUGGAAUGUUAUACUUCAUCCAACAAUUCCUUCCCAUGCAAACUCCACCUCCUAAAGAUGUGAAAUAAGUAACAUCAAUUAAUUUAACACAACUCUUACACUAAAACAUAAAUAUUUAUCACCAGCUUGUUUAUUAACAUCUACCAUUAUCUUUUGCCUAUACGAUAUCUGCAUACAUAUCUGACAUCAGCAUUUGUGGCAAAUGGGAGUGAAGGCAAGUAUCCAGGACACGAACAUGGAAGUGAGUAGUCACAAAACAUCAACUCUCUGAAGUGAAGAAUCUCCAUUUAAAAAAAAAAUGAAACAGAAUGGUAAAUAUUCAAGGGGAUGGGUUAUCUAAAUUUUUCAAUUUGAUUCAGUUUUUAUCAAAGUCAGUGUUUUGUCUUUGCAAAGUUACUCUCCUUUGAGUAUGUUUAUUCAUGUUUCUCUUGAACAUUACUGCUUAGACUUAACUGGCAAUACAACAGAAUGGUGAGCUUUGGCAACGCCAGCAAAUGCGUUUCUUCAGAAAAGCUCCAUAAGACAGUACUGGAUCAAUAACAGUAGAAAUGUUACUGCAGCAGUAAUUGUAAAAAUUUAAUAAAAAAAAAAAAAAAAAAAAAAAAAAAAAGCUUUUAUUUUUUCUAUAACAGCACAUAUGUGAUCUCACAUGCUUCCAGACAAUUUUACUGAAUUUAUAUUCCAAUACAGAAGACUUGUCCCCUUAUCUCUUUAAUUUUACAGGCUAAUUGUAGGAUUUUUUUAUAACAAUGCUUUACAAACAUGCAUCAGUAGGUUGUUUUUGUGUGGAAGACUCAUGGCAAAAACCAGGGUCAACAUGCAGUCCACUGAAGUCAGUAAAAAGAUUCUUAUAGAUUUCAGCAGACACUGCAUCAGACCCUAAGUGCUCAUAACUCUCCAGAGUAGCUGUGAAAACACUUGAAAGCCAAUUCAACCUAUCAAGACUAAAGAAGCUAACAGGCCACUUUCUCAGGGCUGCUAUUUUCAGUUUAUGCUGUAGCGGGAGGUCAUGGAAUAGACUUGACACUUGGCAUUUUCUUUUCCUUCUCUGUGUCUUUGCAAAAUUAUGCCUGACACCCUCAGGCUGUCACCGAGGUGUGUGUGGAGGGCAGAGCAAGAGAAAUGCAUGGGGAGAAAAAGAAAGGUGAUUCCAGCAGACAACAGACUCCUUUUAGUCCGUCAGAAGAAUUUGCGCGUUGAGUAUUUUUGCCACCAUUCCUGUCAGUUUCAGGUUGGCAUCUUGGGAGUUUACAGAAGUCCUUGUCAAAAUAAUACAAGCAGAACUGUAGAAGGAGAAAUGAAAGAGACAUCACAAAAAGAGAGAUUUAAGUUUAAUUGCAAAACUGCGCUUUUCCAUUCAGAGAUUUUUUUCUGCUAGCCAGUCGCAAGGUGACACUUGACUCUUGUAGGUGUCCUUCAGCACAGCCAGAUUACAGAAGCAGAGGAAAACUGAGGGAGAAUUUCAAAAGCACAGAAGAAGAGCUGAGCUCUUCCUCUGUGCAGGGAAAUUAACCUUUCCUUGGAAAAUAAUCCCUGCAAGGAUACGGUCCAGUUAGGACUUCUGUCAGUUGCCCAAAUCUGAGAAAGAUUCUCUACUCCUUAGUAACGUGAUUUUACUCCUAAUUUUAAAACAAAAAAAAUUACAAGCACAUGUUGGUGGAAGGUUGUAAUCAUCAGAAAGAGACAGAAGUGUAUAAUUACCCUAACAAGGACCCUAAAAAAGGGAUGAAGAGAUUUUUAGAACAGGAAAUAAAAUGUUCUAAGAAUGCAAGAAAUGCUUUCUGGCAAACAGUGAAGAGGUGGGUUCCUGAAAACUCAGAGACAAUCUCAGGUAAGAUAAAAAAAAGCUGCAAAACAUUCAACUAUAUCAGUUUCUAGAAUGAACUUUUAAGUUGAGCUUUUUGGGGAGGGGGGGUUGUUUGUUUGUUUUUUUGUUCGUGGUCUUUUUUUUUUGCUUUUUAUGGUGCUCAUUCAGAACUAUCCAUCAAUCACUAAUUCCUACACUCUCUCUCAUGAAAAAAAAUUGUCCUCCACUCUUCUCUGCACUUAACAUAGCUGUAUCCACAUACUAAUUAGAACAAUGGGCUUUAUGAAAAAAUAUUACUACAAAAUUCAUCCUUGUAGAUUUCCCAUGUCUUACAAUGCAGAUAAUCACUU